UACGGGGGGGGCAAGCGUUGUUCGGAAUUACUGGGCGUAAAGGGUUUGUAGGUGGCUUGCUAAGUCAGACGUGAAAUCCCCCGGCUUAACCAGGGAACUGCGUCUGAUACUGGAUGGCUUGAGUUUGGGAGAGGGAUGCGGAAUUCCAGGUGUAGCGGUGAAAUGCGUAGAUAUCUGGAGGAACACCGGUGGCGAAGGCGACAUCCUGGACCAACACUGACGCUGAGUGAGCGAAAGCCAGGGGAGCAAACGGG
rnacentral:rRNA from 1 species